AUUGCCUCAGUAACGGCGAGUGAAGCGGCAAAAGCUCAAAUUUGAAACCCUCGGGAUUGUAAUUUGAAGAUUUGGCAUUGGAGAAAGCUAACCCAAGUUGCUUGGAAUAGUACGUCAUAGAGGGUGACAACCCCGUCUGGCUAACCGUUCUCCAUGUAUUGCCUUAUCAAAGAGUCGAGUUGUUUGGGAAUGCAGCUCAAAGUGGGUGGUAAACUCCAUCUAAAGCUAAAUACUGGUGAGAGACCGAUAGCGAACAAGUACUGUGAAGGAAAGGUGAAAAGAACUUUGAAAAGAGAGUGAAAUAGUAUGUGAAA
rnacentral:rRNA from 1 species